AUUGAACGCUGGCGGCAGGCCUAACACAUGCAAGUCGAGCGGAUGAAGGGAGCUUGCUCCUGGAUUCAGCGGCGGACGGGUGAGUAAUGCCUAGGAAUCUGCCUGGUAGUGGGGGAUAACGUCAGGAAACGGGCGCUAAUACCGCAUACGUCCUGAGGGAGAAAGGGGGGGAUCUUCGGACCUCACGCUAUCAGAUGAGCCUAGGUCGGAUUAGCUAGUUGGUGGGGUAAAGGCCUACCAAGGCGACGAUCCGUAACUGGUCUGAGAGGAUGAUCAGUCACACUGGAACUGAGACACGGUCCAGACUCCUACGGGAGGCAGCAGUGGGGAAUCUUGGACAAUGGGCGAAAGCCUGAUCCAGCCAUGCCGCGUGUGUGAAGAAGGUCUUCGGAUUGUAAAGCUCUUUAAGUUGGGAGGAAGGGCAGUAAGUUAAUCCCUUGCUGUUUUGACGUUACCAACAGAAUAAGCACCGGCUAACUUCGUG
rnacentral:rRNA from 1 species